CCAGUCCCCAGCUGACAAGCCAUUCUGCCUCUGUACUUCCUACCUGCUUACCCAGUGUAAGCCCUAGGCCACCAGAGAUCAUGGCCUGAUAUUCUGGGAAUGAUCCCGAUCAGUGCCCGUCGACGUUUGCAGCCCCUGGCAUGCACGGCACAGCCCGGCUCCGGGUAUGAAGGGGAGAGCAUGUCUUCUGCCAUGAGCUGCAGGCCAAGAGCUGCUCCUGUGUCCCUGAUGGGGCUUGGCUUGGGGAGCAGACCUUGUGCUGCUGCCCUGGCAGGUGCUGUGCUCACACGGAAUGGUUCGACUCCUGAUGCGCUGGAAAGGAGCAGCAGAUGGGGUAGCCUGGGCUGUGAUAUCACAGAGCCCCACGGGGCAAGGCCCCGAGAGAAGCUUCUUCAUAACCAGCUCCUCCAGGAGCACAGGAGGAGGCCGGCUGAGUAGCAGCAGCGGUGGUGACACAAGGGUGGCCAGGUGUCCUGAGCAGUGGUUCACCUGCACGAAGAGAGAGUUCGGGAACUUGCACUACAGGACGGCAGGCUCCGCCCCUGCUCCGGACUCUACAGAUUUAGUGCUUUCAAAAACUAGCGGCUCUUGUGUGACAUAAGGGUCAUCAAAAUAUACAGUGAAUGUUUAAAUUUAUUACAAUACAAGACUCUUGAAAUGGAUUCCCCUCAAAAUACCCGCUUCUGCUUCUAACGCACUUAUAUCCCACUGUGCUUGCCACUUUCGGACGUGGUUCUGAAAGUCCUCUUUUGUGAGCGUCCUUACCGACAUGUGAUCAAAAACACAGUGACUGCUGCCGCCGAGCGCCAUCCAACAGAAAGGCGGGCGUGUGAAAACAUGGUGCUGGGUCCGCAUCAGCCUCGUUCACUGGAUCUGGAGCUGUGUGAUUUCCGCCUCCUCCUCGAAGUCAAAGUGACCACAGAAAGGAAACAUUCUGAAUCGCUUCAGGACAUGAAGGCAGCUAUAACAACACACCUGAAGGAACUCAGGAAGGAGGACUUCCAGCACUGCUGCAGAAAGUGGCAAGAACAACGGGAUAAGCACGUGUGAAACUGCGGUGGGUGUGGUUUCUGAAGGGGAUUAAUAGCCAUGUGUCUUUUACUGUAAUAAAUUUUAAAUUUUUAAUGUUUACCAUAUAUUUUG
rnacentral:lncRNA from 1 species